rnacentral:rRNA from 1 species
UACGAAGGGGGCUAGCGUUGCUCGGAAUCACUGGGCGUAAAGCGCACGUAGGCGGCUUUCUAAGUCAGGGGUGAAAUCCUGGAGCUCAACUCCAGAACUGCCUUUGAUACUGGAGAGCUAGAGUCCGGAAGAGGUGAGUGGAACUGCGAAUGUAGAGGUGAAAUUCGUAGAUAUUCGCAAGAACACCAGUGGCGAAGGCGGCUCACUGGUCCGGUACUGACGCUGAGGUGCGAAAGCGUGGGGAGCAAACAGG